CUGUCAGGUGGGAUAACCCUUACUUGUUCCUCCUUUUGGAGGGCAGAUAGAGAACAUGAUGAUUGGAGAUGCAUGAAAUGUGACUAACAUCUCUGUGUAAUCAGGACUUGCAACACCCUGAUUGCUCCUAUCUGAU
ensembl:snoRNA U8 U8 small nucleolar RNA